UUUCUUUAGGACUUAUUUGGCUCUAUAUAUCUAUAUUAUUAUUAUUAUUAUUAAUUUUUUUUUUCCAGGUCUCUGUUGCUUAAAACGACGACGUAUUUUCAUCGUAGUGCUAGACUAUUUUCUGGUCCAAUUCGACUGGAAGGAUGGAGUUGGAACCGCUAUGUUUGUUGCCCGAGAAAUUUAUAAGAAAAGAAAAUGGAAAUAAAAUGAAGCAAUUUCCAUUCUUUUUAUUCCCAUUUUCUUUCUUUAUAAAUUCUUAUUGGUAUUCUUGUAUUUGAACUUCAAGAACUAAGCAACUUACCUUAAACUUAGAGAAGCUGAAAGAUGAAAAAGAAUUAAGGCUUACUUGUGCUAAACAAACCCACAUCACAUCACAAUCAAAGCCGUCAAUGACUCUCAGGAUUCACAACCCACUCGCAUUGUACAUCGUUAAUAAACUCUCCCUGCUGAAACUUCGGUACCAAUCAUAUUUGGCAGGUGAGACACUUCAUUCUUUUUCGUUGCCAAAAAUGAGAGAAAACAAAAAUGAAAAAAAAUACGACUAAAUUUGAAUGAAAUAAUAAUCAAUGUUGACCAUUGUAUCAUAGCAGAUCUUAUGUUUUUCUCAUUCAUAACAAAUGCAGUCUACCAUGUUUUUCAUUUCAGUUUCUUUUGUCAAAAAAUAAAUUUCUUGCAUUUGUGGAUUUAUGUAAUUUUGUUGUUCCCUGUUAUAGCUCUAAUAUGUUCCCAAAGUUGUGUUCAUUUUGGUUUGACACAAAGUGAGGUUGGCUAUGCCUAAAGUAUGACGUAUGUUUUGAAUUUGAACUAAUCUCUACCUACUCUCUUGUUUUAUUAGCUAGAGUUGCUUUGAGAUGUUCUGAGUUGGUCUUCUUAAUUUGAAACGCUUCAACUAAUAAUUUCAUCAGGAUUUUCUAGCUUACAUGGCACAAUUUAAUUUCAAGAUGGACCACAUGGGCUUUUUCUUACAGCCAUCUUAGUAAUAUCUUUUAUAGCAGGGGCCUCUGUGUAUGGUAUUGGCCUUAUUGUAUGGUGUCACCUUCACUUCUUACAUCAGGCAAUGAAUAUUGUCUUGGACAUGAUUAAUGUGCAAGUUUUGCAAACUUCCUCCAUUAUUAGGGCAGUUAUCAUUUACAUUAAUUAAUUCAAUUAUACACAUGCCUUUUACAGAACCAUAAGGAUGGGUUUUGGCUUUACAUUAGAACAACGUUCUUCUGUUACUUAUAUGCUGCGAUUUAGGUUCUCAUGAAAAUUACUUUGUUCCGGAAAUUGUUGCUGUGCAUUCUGUAUCAAUAUAACAUGGAUAUUUAACAGUCGAUGAGCAUGUGAUUCAUGCUGGGUAAGAAUCUCCUCAGAGUUCUUUUAUAAUCCAUCCAUUCUCAGUUUCUCACAGUACAUGUUUUCUCUAGGCUGCUAAAAAGUUCUUCCCAUUUUCGAAUAUGUUACAAUUAUACUGCUAGAAGAGGCUCACUGAUUGUUGAAAAUAAGAUAACUGUUUUAUAAGAUAAAUUUUAGCUCUAUUUGCUUCAUAAGAAAUAAAUAAAUAGCAAAAAGUCAACAAACAUUAUAAGUAGAACACCUUAUGUUGUAAAGUACAACCUACAUGUCCUGUGGUUAUUGGUGUGCAGUUUUCUUCCCAGGAAGCAGAAUUUCAAACUAGUUUAUGCAUCAAUAAAUUUCUAUAUCUCUUAAUUUUUGAAGAACUAAAAUUUGUUGCAACCAAAUAUCAAGUUCUAUUGUGUGGCGCACACACUAUCAGAUUUGUGAUUCUCCUUUUCAUUGGUUGAAUUAUGUUUCCCGACCUACCUUUCGCACUAUUAUACUAAGUCCAGCAAACCUGUACCUUUUUUUGCUUCUCUUGCUGAUGUAGUUAUUCCAUUGAAAGGUGAUUCACAAAACCCGACCUACCUUUCGCACUAUUAUACUAAGUCCAGCAAACCUGUACCUUUUUUUGCUUCUCUUGCUGAUGUAGUUAUUCCAUUGAAAGAUGAUUCACAAAAUAGAUAGAGUUGAGGCUCCUCACAUGAUUUAUACCCCACCACAUCCCGAAAGCUCAUGGUUGUGGGGUAUUGUGCCAAGUGACGAUAAGUUGGCAUCAAAAUGGAAUCCUUUUCUGUUUGUUUGCCGCAAUGUAAUUGGUGGGGCAAUAGAUUAAUCAGUGACUGAUUGUAAUACCAUGUUCUGGGGCUUACUUUCUCAAAACCAUAAAAGUCUUUGUAUUUAAAACUUGUAGUUUACGCCUUACUGUCCUACAUGCAAUUUGCUCCAUAUUUCCAGCCUUGUACACUAAACCGUGGCCAAUAUUCCAUGCUUGGUUAAAAUGUUCAUACAUCUAUCUGAAUGCCCAGUGAAUUUAAUAUUUUCUUGGUUUUUGUUCUUUUUCUUGCUUGAGUUGGAAAACUUUUGAGUACAAUGUUUGGCUUUUGGUAGAUUUAUUGUUGUUUGCUGCCACUUUAAACAUGGAAGGGGUCAUUUUUCUGCAGGAUGGGUUUUCCUGGUAAAAUAAGUAACUAAUUUGAGAGGUCAUGUGUUCUAUACUUUAUGUGUUCUUGAUAUUUUGCAUAUGGUGCCAUAUCUAGAAAUCGCUAUGUUGCAUUAGCAUUCUGGUUAUCAUAAGUGGUCUGCAUUGAUUGAGGAUUUGCAACUGCUGUUACUUUGUGUUGCAGUUGUACUCUAUAUACAUCUCCCACUAUGUAUUAUUUUAUUUGUUCCCUUUAGGUUCUAGUUGCUGCAUCCUUUCAUUUUUGUGUUUUUUCUCUUAUCUUUUUCUUUUUAAAUGCUUCUCAUUCAGGGAAUGUAGUUAUAUGAAUAAAAGUAUUGACCAGUGACCUGCAAAUUUAUUAAAUAUGCAUUCUAUUUUCAGAUAAAGGCAGCAUAUGCGUGUGAUCCACUUGCAUUAUUUUUACAUGACAUGGAAGAUUACUAAAAUUGUGACAUAUAUUGGAUCGGUAGGGAAUACAAAUUUGUGUUAGUUGUGGACUGGUAGUUUUUUUACCCCUUUUCAGUCCUCCAUCUGAACCAAUAAAUCUGAGGGUAUGACCAGUCAUUCAAACUAACAUCCAACCAUCCAUAUUGAUUAUUGAGAUUCCUUGAAGAUUGAAUUCUCUUACUUAUAUUGCUAAAAUUGCUUGGUAAGGGGAGGGUUUGUCAUUUUUUGCCUAACAUUUUACCUAUCUGAAUUGAUUUUUCCUGACUUCUAUGCAUCUGGAAGUUUCUGUAUCUAUUUUUUGUUGUAUUGCAUAUAAACAUAUUGUCAUUGAAAACUUGGAAAGCAUAUAGUUAUUCCAAGAUUUUUUCUUGAUAAACUAGUGAGAAGAAUUCAAGCUGGAAUAGUGAGAUACUUCUGUGUAACACUGAAUUCUAAAUACCUCAAAUUGGAUAACCUUUAUAAGAUCAUUUUGAGAAACUUAGUAUCUUCUAAUUCGGAUACAAGUAAAUAAACUGACUCGAUGCUAAUUUGAUUUGAUCUAGAAUUAUAGUUGAUCAUGUAUAACACCUUUAGCGACAAUCAGCUUGAAUUCAUAUUAAUUCAUUUAUAUAAUUUGUUAAAAUCUGUGCUAUUAUGUACUUUCAGAGCCUCUUGCUUAAAAUUUGUUUUUGAUAAAGCUUUUUGUUCCACCCAACCUCUUGUGUUUGCAGACAUCAGUCUUAUUUUCUUAAUUUGUUCAAUUACUAACAAAGGACAAAUGAAGGUGGAGAAUAUAUUCUUCUUAUGAUCUUGCAUAAGCAUGAGCUCAAUGUAAGCAAUGGGCAGUCAUGAAUGAAUGACAUGGAAUUGUACAAACACUCAUAUCUACUCGAAGAAAAAUUACUGUCAAAUUUUGAAGUAUUUAUUUCAUUUCUUUAUUGUUGAUUCAGUCUUGCAUGCCACCUCCUGGUGGUAGCUUUUAUAACCUGACUUCCAAAACUAUCUCAUCUACUCUUCAUAGCUAACUGUCUCUCAAGGUUGGAUAGGAGGUCAGUAAUAUUUUUUAUGUAAGAUUAACUCGCAAAAGCCUCGUGUUAAGCAUUCUACAAAAGAGUGCUUUGGCAUCCAUAAUUGACUCGGUUCUUAACGCGACUAUUUCCCAAGGUGGAUGCUCUCUCGAUGUGUCAAGCCCCAUGACUCUGGGUAUAUGUGGCUUGCGUGUCGUAUUAGAAUUUAACCUUAGCUUCAUAAUGCAAAAUUUCUUAGUGAUUAUAAUAUUAUUAGUCUUAGAUUAUUCAAAUUACUAUAUUGGAAGAUUUUCAUUGAUGUUGUGUUUGAUACACAAAUACUUGUUUUAUGAGUGUAGCAUCUAGAAAACCGAAAACUAGUGGACCACGUAAAAUUUAAGACAGCAAGGGUAGGGAUUGAUUAUGCUCAACCACUUUGAUAUAACUCCAGUAAUAUUAGCAUUUUAGUAGGUUAAUUGUAUCAGUUUUUGAUUUUAGUCAUUGAGGUUGUUUCAUACUCGGUUCAACAUAUUUUGAAGAGUUACACUUUUUUCUCAUGUAUUUGUAACCUAAUGUGCAACAUAUUUUUGAAGAGUUACACUGUCUAAUGGCAGCUCCACAGCUUGUCUCUUAUCACUCAUACAUCAUGAACAUGAAAUAGCAUUCAUGGUUGUAACUUUUUUUUUUUUUUUUUUUUUUUUUUUUUGCUUUUUGCUCUUACAAUGACAUGGAAACAAAUGGUGAAACUGAUAUGUUUACAUUUCGAGUUUGUACAUUAAAGAGUACUUUUUUUUAAUUUUUUUUGUGGUUUUAUCAAUCUGAAAGAGAAAAGACUCAAUUUAUAUUGUGGUAUGUAAAGGAAAAAGCAGAUAAAGUUGAAAGAAACGGUAAGCUGCAAGAAAUAAAUUGGACUUUGGAGUACUUAUCUGUAAUUAUCUGUAACUUCAUGCAAGGAUUGAUGGUAAUUGUUGUAUAUUACAUCUAUUUUGCUCUGUUCUCUUUGUUUUUGCAACAAUCUUUAUGCUUGAAUAGUAUAGUUUCUGCCGAGUUGGAUUUCAUA